rnacentral:rRNA from 1 species
UACGUAGGGUGCGAGCGUUGUCCGGAAUUACUGGGCGUAAAGAGCUCGUAGGUGGUUUGUCGCGUUGUCCGUGAAAACUCGGGGCUCAACCCCGAGCCUGCAGUCGAUACGGGCAGACUAGAGUGCUGUAGGGGAGACUGGAAUUCCUGGUGUAGCGGUGAAUGCGCAGAUAUCAGGAGGAACACCAAUGGCGAAGGCAGAUCUCUGGGCCGUAACUGACGCUGAGGAGCGAAAGCAUGGGGAGCGAACAGG